rnacentral:rRNA from 1 species
ACUCCUACGGGAGGCAGCAGUGGGGAAUAUUGCACAAUGGGCGCAAGCCUGAUGCAGCCAUGCCGCGUGUAUGAAGAAGGCCUUCGGGUUGUAAAGUACUUUCAGCAGUGAGGAAGGCAGGCACGUUAAUAGCGUGCUUGUUUGACGUUAGCUGCAGAAGAAGCACCGGCUAACUCCGUGCCAGCAGCCGCGGUAAUACGGAGGGUGCGAGCGUUAAUCGGAAUUACUGGGCGUAAAGCGCAUGCAGGUGGUUUGUUAAGUCAGAUGUGAAAGCCCGGGGCUCAACCUCGGAAUUGCAUUUGAAACUGGCAGACUAGAGUACUGUAGAGGGGGGUAGAAUUUCAGGUGUAGCGGUGAAAUGCGUAGAGAUCUGAAGGAUACCGGUGGCGAAGGCGGCCCCCUGGACAGAUACUGACACUCAGAUGCGAAAAGCGUGGGGAGCAAACAGGAUUAGAUACCCUGGUAGGAUAGCG